rnacentral:rRNA from 1 species
CAAGAAUAUUAGUCAAUGCUCUCACGAGUGAACUAGCUAACUGAAAUCAUUUGUGUGUCACAAGUGAUAACGUAAAGGAAAAUUAUGAUAUUACUUUACUAUUAGUGUCGUCCAAAACUGGUGCCAGAAGACUCGGUAAGGCCAGAGACGCAAACGUUAAUCAUCUUUAUCAGGCGUAAAGGGUUUGUAGGCUGCUUUAAGAUCCUCACAUUUUAAAAUAGUAGUAAAUAGAGCAAUCACAAAAUUUAAGACUUUAUUUAAUAAGAUGUGAGAUAAGUUAAAGCUAGAAUCAAAUAGAGGUUGUCAAAUAUAAUGCUUAGAGUAGGGCCGAUAUCCUAAGAUCCUAAGUAGAAUACUAAAGGCGAAGGCUUUCUUCCACUAAUGAUUGACGCUGAGAAACGAAGGUUAGGAUAGGAAAUAGGAUUAGAUACCCUAGUACCCCUCUCUGUCAACGAUGAAUGGUAGUUAUUCAACUAAAUUGAGUAGCGAUGUUAACGCGAUAACCAUUCCGCCUUGUGAGUACAAUUGCAAAAUUGAAAACAAAAAAAUUAGUCGGUCUUGAAGCAAACGGAGUGAAGCAUGUUAUUUAAUUCGAUAAUCCGC